UGGGGGAAGGGGGAGUGUUGUGAUGGCGAAAAGGUCGCCUGCACUUGCUGCCGCUGCCGCCGCCCUCGCCCUCGGAGUGAGCUCGCCUGGGACGGAGUGAGCCGUCAGGCGGCAGGGCCCUCGAACACAGGCAGAUCCAAUAGAAGCAAAGCUCAGGUAAACUGUUCAUCCGAAACAAUGGAGUCAAUGCUAAAUAAACUGAAGAGUACUGUUACUAAGGUAACAGCAGAUGUUACCAGUGCAGUCAUGGGUAACCCUGUCACAAGGGAGUUUGAAGUUGGGCGGCACAUGGCAAGUGCUGGGCCAGGAAUGACCUGGAAGGUCUUUCAUGGUGUGAAGAAGUCAACCAAACAGGAGGUGGCUGUAUUUGUUUUUGACAAAAAGUUAAUUGAGAAAUAUCAAAAGUUUGAAAAGGAUCACAUCAUUGAUUCACUGAAAAAAGGUGUGCAGCAGCUCACCAGGCUGAGACAUCCACGCCUACUGACAGUUCAGCAUCCAUUAGAGGAGUCUAGAGACUCUUUAGCCUUUUGCACGGAGCCUGUCUUUGCAAGUUUAGCCAAUGUCCUAGGUUGCUAUGACCACCUACCAUGCCCUACACCUGCAGAAAUUAAAGGAUACCAGCUUUAUGAUGUGGAAAUCAAAUAUGGUUUGUUGCAGGUUUGCGAAGCCUUGUCCUUUCUACACAGUAGUGUGAAAAUGAUUCAUGGUAACCUGACGCCAGAGAAUAUCAUUUUGAAUAAAAGUGGCGCCUGGAAAAUCAUGGGUUUUGACUUUUGCAUCUCUUCAUCUAAUCCCUCAGAGCAGGAGCUUACAUUUAGUUGCAAGGAAUGGGACCCAAAUCUUCCUCCUUUGUGCCUCCCUAACCCUGAAUAUGUUGCUCCAGAAUAUAUCCUGUCAGUGAGUUGUGAUCUGGCCAGUGAUAUGUACUCGUUAGGAGCUGUCAUGUUUGCUGUGUUUAAUGAUGGCAAGCCUAUCUUCGAGGUCAACAAGCAGGAUAUUUUCAAGAGUUUCAGCAGACAGCUAGAUCAGCUCACCCGUUUAGGCCCCAACAUACUGCAGAAGGUUCCUGAAGAGGUUCGGGAGCACAUGAAAUUAUUGCUGAAUGUAACUCCCACUGUCAGACCAGAUGCUGACCAGCUGAGUAAGAUUCCAUUUUUUGAUGAUGUAGGUGCCAUGACUCUGCAGUAUUUUGAUUCACUCUUUCAACGAGACAACCUCCAGAAAUCACAGUUUUACAAAGGUCUGCCAAAAAUCUUGGCAAAGCUUCCAAAGCGGGUUGUAAUACAACGCAUUCUGCCAAGCUUGACAUCUGAAUUUGUGAAUCCAGAUAUGGUGCCCUUUGUCCUACCCAAUGUCCUUCUCAUUGUUGAAGAGUGUACCAAAGAAGAGUAUGUCAGGCUGAUUCUCCCAGACCUUGUUCCUGUUUUCCGGCUCCAGGAACCCAUUCAGGUUUUGCUGAUCUUCUUGCAAAAGAUGGAUUUGCUGUUGACUAAAACUCCUCCAGACGAUAUCAAGAACACAGUUUUACCCAUGAUUUACAGGGCCUUAGAAGCACCAUCAAUUCAGAUUCAGGAACUCUGUCUCAACAUAAUUCCCACGUUUGCAAACUUGGUAGAUUAUCCAUCCAUGAAGAAUUCUUUAAUACCACGCAUUAAGAAUGCUAGUUUACAGACCUCUUCCCUUGCAGUGCGUGUAAAUUCGCUGGUUUGCCUUGGCAAGCUCCUCGAGUAUCUGGACAAGUGGUUUGUACUGGAUGAGAUCCUUCCUUUCUUGCAGCAGAUUCCAUCCCGAGAGCCUGCCGUUCUCAUGGGAAUUUUAGGUAUCUACAAAUGUACUUUUAGCCACAAGAAGCUGGGAAUUACCAAAGAGCAGUUGGCUUCAAAAGUGCUACCACACCUUAUACCACUCAGCAUUGACAACAAUCUGAAUCUGAACCAGUUUAACUCCUUUAUGGGAGUGAUCAAGGAAAUGUUAAGUAAGGUGGAGGCUGAGCACAAGACUAAACUGGAACAGCUACAUCACAUGCUGGAACAGCAGAGAAGUUUGGAUCUACCUGGCCAGUUCAAUAAAAUUACUGAAUCAAAGGAAAACCAAGACACUCAGCUGCCUUUGGCGAAGUUAACGAGAACUGGGAGUUUUUUGAAAACUGCAUUGUGAGACUGAAGUUACAGCUGUCACAGCAGCAUGUAGUGGUCUAUACAGCGUUCAAGCAAGCAUUGGGCCAGUAGGUUCGGAUCCUGGAAAGAAAUCUGCAUUUGGUAGGGGAAUACAGGAGACAGGACACUCAAAAGAAAGAGUUGACCGAGGAAGAGAAGGCAGCAAAAGGAGCCAAAUAUAACCUGAACUCCAGAUGAUUGGAAAUGGGAGACAGGCGCCAAUGACGGCUGUUCCAUCUCAUAUUUGAACGCAUGAAUAGCGAACACAACACUCUUUACAGUUUUAACUAGGUAGUGAUGUGGCCAGUAGUAACUGCCUGGGAAACAACUGAAAAUAAGAUUGUGACUCAGAAAGAGAACUGGUGCCUGCAUAUGAAUGAAUUUCACUUCUACCAACUGUAAAUGAGCAGGAUUAUAACUUUGAUUAUCACAGAUUGGUUGUUGGUGAAGUUCUUCACACAUUAAGAGUUGUUCAGCAGGAGCUACCCAUUCGUGAUGUCAGAUCUAACUUAGAUGUUUUGUUUGGGUUUAGUUCAAGAAACACAAAUUGAUAAGAUCUUCACAAGCUUUGGAGUGGAUGUAAGUGGAGGAGUUAAUAAGAAAGAGGAUGGAUCGGUCUCCAAUUCACAGAAGCAAGUCAAA